rnacentral:rRNA from 1 species
GUACGGUGCGAGCGUUAAUCGGAAUUACUGGGCGUAAAGCGUGCGCAGGCGGUUUUGUAAGUCAGAUGUGAAAUCCCCGGGCUUAACCUGGGAACUGCGUUUGAAACUACAAGGCUAGAGUGUGGCAGAGGGGGGUGGAAUUCCACGUGUAGCAGUGAAAUGCGUAGAGAUGUGGAGGAACACCGAUGGCGAAGGCAGCCCCCUGGGUUAACACUGACGCUCAGGCACGAAAGCGUGGGGAGCAAACAGGAUUAGAUACCCUGGUAGUCCACGCCCUAAACGAUGUCAACUAGUUGUCGGGUCUUAACGGGCUUGGUAACGCAGCUAACGCGUGAAGUUGACCGCCUGGGGAGUACGGUCGCAAGAUUA